GAAGCAGGCCGCCUUAUCGUCCCGACAUUAUUUCGGGGAGGAAAGUCCGGACACCACAGGGCAGUAUAGUGGGUAACGCCCACCGGUCGUGAGAUCAGGACCAGUGCAACAGAAAGGAUGUACAGGUUAAGCUGUAGUGAAAUCAGGUAAACUCUAUGCGGUGCAAUGCCAUGUAUACCGGCAUUUAAGGAUCGCCCGUCCGUUGCCGGAGGGUAGGCAGCUAAAGAUUAGUGGCAACGCUAAUUUCAGAUAAAUGAUAAGGAACCCGAUCAAUUAUCGGGUUACAGAAUCCGGCUUACAGGCCUGCUUUUUUA
rnacentral:RNase_P_RNA from 1 species